AAGGGUAUCUCAUUACAUGCACCAUUUUCUAUUUUAUAGCGAAGAAGGAAACAAGUCGCAGGUUAGGUAGAUAAACAGUUAAAGAUAUAAACAGGCUUAUGGUAGGGUUCUUUUCUAACCUGUGUGCGGAAUUGUAAACAUAUAUGUGGUGGUUAUCAGGUUGGAACAAGGCUUAGGUGUACUGUAUAUGUAUGCAGUGUGAGAGGUCUGCGGGG